GCGCUGCGUCUCCGGCGGCGCCGAGAGGGAGCGGAGCGGCCGCAGCCGCGGCCCCGCUGCGGGCAUGGGACGGCUCUCGGUGCUGCCGGUGCUGCUGCUGCCCCUGCUGCCCGUGCUGGUGCUGUGGCAGCUCGGCGGAGCCCGGGCUGAGGGCACGUGUCCCAAGCCAGAGCGGCUGCAGAAUGCAGAGCUCAGUGAGAGCUCCAGGGAAAUCCAGGAUUUUCCACCUGGGACCAAAAUCUCCUUCAUCUGCCGGCCUGGAUACAUGAGGCUCCCAGGGAAGACACUGACCUGGACAUGUGGUGCUGACUUGCAAUGGUCACCCAAAGAGGUGUUCUGUACACCAAGAAAAUGUCGUUACCCAGGACCCUUAGAAAAUGGUUAUUUUGAUGCAACAGAUCUUACAUUUGGUUCAAAAUUGACAUUUCGUUGUAAUGAAGGAUACAGAUUACGGGGUAAGGAAGAGAUUUCCUGUGAUAUCCAGAAAGAAGAUGUUGGCUGGAGUGGAGCUCUGCCUUACUGUGAAAUAAUUCCUUGUGAGCCACCUCCCACAAUAGCCAACGGGGAGUACCAGGAGAGAGCCAGCUACGUGUACCAGAGCUCAGUGACCUACAGGUGUCUGGAUGUCCCCAGGGGCAGUGACCCCUUCUCCCUCGUUGGCACAGCCACCAUUCACUGCACAUCUGAUGCACACUCAAACGGAGUUUGGAGUGGGCCACCUCCAGAAUGUCGAGUGGUCAAAUGUGAAGACCCCAGAGUUGAAAAUGGGAGAAAAAAAUAUGGAUUUGGAUUGCCCUACAGAUACAAUGACUCAGUUAUGUUUGAGUGUAAUCAAGGCUAUUACAUGGUUGGAGCAGAUAUAAUUAUCUGUAAUGAAAAUAGUAUCUGGAAUCCUCCAAAACCAACCUGUGAGAAAAUUACUGCAGAUGUGUGUCCUGCCCCGAAGAUCCACAACGGGGUCCUGGUUCCAGGCAAGCCUGCCUACAGCAAAGGAGAGUCUGUGCAGAUCAGGUGCAAUGCUAAGUGCUCCUUCCCUGAUGGCUCUACAGAGGUGACAGUGACCUGUCAAGAACAGAGUUCCUGGGGUCCUUUACAGCACUGUGCCUGUGAGUUUGAAGGUUCUGGUUCCACACCAGUCAUAAGCUAUGGGAGAGUGAUAGCUGGACAAAAACCUUCCUACUUUGUGGGGGAUUUCAUUACCAUUGAAUGUUACACGGGGUACACCUUGCAAGGGGAGGCUCGGAUUCAGUACAUUGGAAACAACCAGUGGGUGCCUGCAGUGCCAACCUGCCAGCUCAGUGGAUAUAUUAUUGCCAUCAUCUGUGUGAUUGUGGUAGUUGUGGUGUUCCUGGCUGCCUUCUGGAUCUACAAGAAAUUCUUCUCACAGAAUGGCUCGUACACAGUUGAUGAGAGGUGCAAGGAAAUUUGUAUUUUAAAAGCUAAUGUCCCAGAUGAGAUGGAAGAAACUGCACAAAUGAAUUAAUGAAAAGAAGAGAAUAAAUGAAGGGUCUAACAAGGAUCUUUUGAAACCUUCUUAUGAAAAGGAAACGUGACAGCCCUCCCAGUUCUGCCGAAUAUAAGAUGUGUAAAGCAUGACUGCCCUUGCUGGGGGAGGGAGGGACUUUGCAGUGGGAUGUCCCUGUCAGAGCUGGCCAAGGAUUGAUUCCCUUGCACUGAGUGGCUGUCCAUGAGUUCCUUGUGCUGUGUCUUGCUCUGCUGGUGAACUGGAGGAGGAGGUGCUUGACAGGAUAAAAAGUGUGUGUGCAUUUAGCUAACACAGGUCCUGCUUUGCCUCCUGGGCCCCUCCCUGUCCUUCUGUGCACGUCAGCUGGGGGAAAGGCAAUACCUGUAGUGUGCCAGAGUCUGUGGGAGUGCUGCAAUGUCCCUGUCCCAGUGCCAGCUGCUGCCUGCUGCCUUCAGUGCCACCUCUUGGCUUACAGAUGUCCAAUAUUCUCCUCUCUCCUGUAGAGCUCUGCUCACUCAAUCCUGGCUGUCCUUCCCAUCCCUCUUUGCAGCAGAGGUGGUGUAAAUGGUUCUGUGGUUUCCUUUGUACUCUGAAAUGUGCUGUUGCUCAUUCCCUGAUGAGGCUGGUGCCAUUGAGGUCUUUUGGAAACUAUCACAAUUAAGAUUUUAUAUACUCUACCUCUUUGUCUGCCAAAGUUGGUUGCUGUAUAUAUAAUGAAUUAAAGUGUGCCUUGAAAUCAGAGUUUUAUAGCUUUUCCUUUGCUUCUGAGAAGGAAAAAAGCUAUAUAUGUAUUUCUGAUUCUUUGCUUUAAUCUCCCAAAGACUGCAGUGAGUUUGUUGGACCUGAAAACGGAAGGAUUCUGUAGCAAAGGCAUCCCCUGCCUGUUGACAGGAGAUCCCAAAUCAAAGGAACUGCUGAGAGCUCAGUGGUGGCUGUGUCCUGUCAUGAGCACAGUGGAAGUUCCUUAGGGUGCUCAGUUUUAGUGAGCCUUGAUGUCAGGUCUGCAGAUCUUCUGUUGCUUUCAAGGGUAGAAACAGGUGCUGUGUGAUCCACUUUCCUUGCUUUUUUACUUGAAAUCACAUAUUCCACAUUUCUGACCUCUGGCUGCAGACUGGGAUGUUAAAUCAAGCUCUGAAAAGCUGGAUUUAGCAUCAGAUCUUUUCCCUGUCACUCACUUUCCAUGUUAAAGGAAAACCAAACCAGUUCAGUUGUGUGAGUGCUGGUAGAUGUGGUGGUCUCUUGUUUGCUGCUUGGUGCUAGUUCAGCACAUGUUUUAGUCCAGAUUCUCCCACCACUGUGUUUGCCAUUAGUUUGGAGUCACUGCUACUUCUAAUUCCUCAGCAAAGCCCAAAUCUUAACUAGAACAGGUUUUAGCUCCAUGAAUCUCACUAUCAGCAUCCAGGCAGCUUCUGAUUUUCACAGAAAACCCAAAUAGCCUCACUUCAGAUGCCUGAGGCAGCAUUGAAAGUGCUCUGGCUUGUCUGUGGCUGCUUGGCACUGCUCUCCCUGUCAUCAACAGACUGUUGGAGUGGCACAGAGCUGUUUGGGGCUUUGGAGGGCUUUUUGGGACAAUCCCAGCAGUCGCAUUGUUGGAGCUCAUAAUAGGCUGUGGUUGUUGUUAGAAAGGGGCUUUGGCUCUGCGGAAGGAUUUGCUGCUCGUGGCCUGGCUGAUAGCUCAGCUUGAGAGUUGUUUGUAAACACUGGGAUGUGUGACUGGGACUGAGUGUGGUGCUGGUCAGGAGCUCAGCUUGCUUUGUGUGGCAUCUGCAAUGUGCUGAAAAACACUGGAAUGUUCUUAAUUGGGAAGUGAAAUCACUGUAAAAAGUGGCUGUGUUUUUGCUCUUCUUUCUGGAUGUAAAGAUUAGCCAUGAUUUGUAAUAUUCCAAAUAAAAAUGUUAAAUUAUUUAGCAGUAA